rnacentral:rRNA from 1 species
GAUGAACGCUGGCGGCGUGCCUAAUACAUGCAAGUCGAGCGAACGGACGAGAAGCUUGCUUCUCUGAUGUUAGCGGCGGACGGGUGGGUAACACGUGGAUAACCUCCCUAUAAUACUGGGAUAACUUCGGGAAACCGGAGCUAAUACCGGAUAAUCUUUUGAACCGCAUGGUUCAAUAGUGAAAGACGGUCUUGCUGUCACUUAUAGAUGGUUCCGCGCUUCAUUAGCUAGUUGGUAAGGUAACGGUUUACCAAGGCAACGAUGCAUAAACGAACGGAGAGGGUGAUCGGCGACACUGGAGCUGAGACACGGACAAGACUCCUACGGGAGGCAGCAGUAGGGAAUGUUCCGCAAUAGGCGAAAGCAUGACGGAGCAACGCCGCGUGAGUGAUGACGGCCUUCGGAUCGUGAAGCUCUGUUAUUAGGGAAGAACAUAUGUGUACGUAACUGUGCACAUCUUGACGGUACCUAAUAAGAAAGCACCGGCUAACUACGUG